UAAAACACCCAACUCAAAAAAAAAUGCCCAGUAUGUUGUAUGUGGGUGUGUGCGAUCGUAAAUAAGGAACCAGGAAGAGCCCCUCCUCAUCUAACCCUAACUUCACAAAUCCAUCAAAUUAAAAGGGAAAAUGAAGGCUAGUUGAAUGCAUGAACUAAGGAUGGUGAUCACCUAAUUAUUUCCUACAUCAAGCACAAAGAAGGAAGAAGGCGCAAGUCACUCAAAGGCACAAUUAUCACAAGAUCGCGGUAAAUCUCAUGCUUGAUCGUGGCGCACUCGGACCGAACACACAAUGUCGACCUUUUGCACGCUUCCGGUUCAAGUUGUUUCUUUUGAAUGGGUCGAAACGUCCAUUUGUGUAGUAAAUGUUAAACUAGUUACUAGGAUGAUGGUAGUAGUUUGAAGUUAAACUUUGUUUUGAAUAAUUUGGUUUUAAUGUUUUGGGUGAAAAGCGUAAAGCUUAAAAUUUAACAUC